rnacentral:lncRNA from 1 species
UUGAAUUUAGUGGUUUGGUUGCUUGAAUUCACAUAAUAGAAAUUAGGAAUAUGAAAACUAACAACCUUACGAAAAUAAUCAAUUUUAGCAUGAUGACUAGUUAACCAAUCAAUCCCUAAAAUCACAUCAAAUGCAAGUAUUUUCAAAGAGAUGAGAUCAACAGGUAACGUGCGGUUACUGAUUUGAAUCAAACAAAACUUAUAAACAGUGGAUAUAAUGAAG